rnacentral:rRNA from 1 species
UACGUAGGGCGCAAGCGUUGUCCGGAAUUAUUGGGCGUAAAGAGCUCGUAGGCGGUCUGUUACGUCCGCUGUGAAAACCCAGGGCUUAACCCUGGGCUGGCAGUGGAUACGGGCAGACUAGAGGUAGGUAGGGGAGAAUGGAAUUCCCGGUGUAGCGGUGAAAUGCGCAGAUAUCGGGAAGAACACCCGUGGCGAAGGCGGCUUUCUGGGACGGUACUGACGCUGAGACGCGAAAGCGUGGGGAGCGAACAGG